GGCGUGAUAGCUCAGUGGUACGGGCUUUGCUUCUCAAACAAGAGGGCCGGGGUUCGAAUCCAGGUCAGGUCA
rnacentral:tRNA from 1 species